CCUACGGGGGGCUGCAGUGGGGAAUAUUGCACAAUGGGCGCAAGCCUGAUGCAGCCAUGCCGCGUGUGUGAAGAAGGCCUUCGGGUUGUAAAGCACUUUCAGCGAGGAGGAAGGCCAGUGACUUAAUAAGUGACUGGAUUGACGUUACUCGCAGAAGAAGCACCGGCUAACUCCGUGCCAGCAGCCGCGGUAAUACGGAGGGUGCAAGCGUUAAUCGGAAUUACUGGGCGUAAAGCGCACGCAGGCGGUUUGUUAAGUCAGAUGUGAAAUCCCCGAGCUUAACUUGGGAACUGCAUUUGAAACUGGCAAGCUAGAGUCUUGUAGAGGGGGGUAGAAUUCCAGGUGUAGCGGUGAAAUGCGUAGAGAUCUGGAGGAAUACCGGUGGCGAAGGCGGCCCCCUGGACAAAGACUGACGCUCAGGUGCGAAAGCG
rnacentral:rRNA from 1 species